rnacentral:lncRNA from 1 species
UUUCUGCCUCAAUGAUCUGUCUAAUGCUGUCAGUGGAAUGUUGAAGACUCCCACUCUUAUUGUGUGGUUAUCUAAGUCUUUUUGUAGUCCAAGAAGAAUUGUUUCAUGAAUUGGGGUGCUCCAAUGUUGGAUCCACCAGGAAAACAGAGGAGUCUAUCUAGUGGGGGCACUUCUUCAUCUCCUCCUGCUGAGUGUGAGCAUACACUUGUGAAGAUGUGCAAGCCAGCCUUUCAUGCAUUUAUCUCCCUCCAUUUCAGACAACCAAUGUUUUAGUUGUCUGUUCCAAUUUUCUAUCAAACUAUUAUUCUGAGGAGGAGAUCUCUCUGCCCAUUGUUGGACAUUAUAGGCUAUAUUGCGUAUUUCUUGGCCUGAAGAAAUGUGAAUCUGCCAUCCAAAUUGGUGCAAUAUCUUCUAUUCCACUUCUUUUAUGGCAUUCUGAGUAUUUGCAUCUUCCACCAGCGUAAAAAUCCAUACUUCGGGAUUCGAUGAACUCUUGGAAAGCAUUUUCUGCAUCCUGCUGUUUGUGGAAGCAUUUUCUCCGCAAAAAGUUGUCAAGAUCCUUGAAGAAAUGGUAGACAAUUGGCUAGAGGUCAGAAUGGUCAAGUUGAGUUCUUCAGCAACUUCUCCCGUAGCUGUAAGAGGAUCAGCUUCGAUGAUUGUUCUCAAUUGGUCAGUGUUAACUUCUGAUGGCUGGUCACUACACUCCUGGUCUUCAAGGUUCAUGUCUCCUUUGCAAAACUUCUUGAACCACCACUGCACCGUAUGUUCAUUAGCAGUUCCUGGGCCAAAUGUGUUGUUGAUGUUGUGAGUUGUCUCCACUGCUUUACAACCCAUUUUCAACUAAAAAAAAAUCAUUCAAAUUUGCUUUUUGUCUAACAUUAUUUCCAUAGCCUAAAAUAAAUAUGAA